ACGAUAAUCGGUGAGUAUGGCUGGCAAUGACAACCAGUAGGAAAAGGUGAAAAUCAUAUCAAAAUAGGGCCAAAAAUCGAGGCCCCUUUUCUCAGUCAUUCUUAAGUACCAACCCACUUACUAGUGGUUGGGGCUCUGACAUAGACUAGAGAAUAGUGCAAGGAAGACACCAGAGGCCUUGGUGACAAUCAUCAACAGAGGAAAUGAUCGAAAAAGAAAAAAAUUGAAAAAUGAUCGGGAAAGAAAAAAAUUAACCAA
rnacentral:lncRNA from 1 species